UACGUAGGGUGCGAGCGUUGUCCGGAAUUAUUGGGCGUAAAGAGCUUGUAGGCGGUUUGUCGCGUCUGCUGUGAAAUCUCAAGGCUCAACCUUGUGCUUGCAGUGGGUACGGGCAGACUAGAGUGUGGUAGGGGAGACUGGAAUUCCUGGUGUAGCGGUGAAAUGCGCAGAUAUCAGGAGGAACACCGAUGGCGAAGGCAGGUCUCUGGGCCACUACUGACGCUGAGAAGCGAAAGCAUGGGGAGCGAACAGG
rnacentral:rRNA from 1 species